rnacentral:rRNA from 1 species
UUGACCUCGGAUCAGGUAGGGAUACCCGCUGAACUUAAGCGCGGAGGAAAAGAAACCAACAGGGAUUGCCUCAGUAACGGCGAGUGAAGCGGCAAAAGCUCAAAUUUUAAAGCUGACAUCUUCGGUGUCCGCGUUGUAAUUUUGUGAGGCAUCUCCGGGUAGGGCGCCGGCCUAAGUUCCUUGGAACAGGACGUCACAGAGGGUGAGAAUCCCGUGCUUGGCUGGCUGUCCCCGUCCAUGUGAGGUGUCUUCGACGAGUCGAGUUGUUUGGGAAUGCAGCUCAAAAUGGGUGGUAAAUUUCAUCUAAAGCUAAAUAUUGGUGGGAGACCGAUAGCGCACAAGUAGAGUGAUCGAAAGAUGAAAAGCACUUUGAAAAUAGAGUUAAAAAGUACGUGAAAUUGUUGAAAGGGAAGCGCUUGAGACCAGACUUCGGUAAGGGGUGAUCAGCCGUCCUUUUGGGCGGUGCACUUGCCCCCCUCCGGGCCAGCAUCGGUUGAGGCGGCGGGAUAAAGGUCCCGGGAAUGUGGCUCCUUCACGGGAGUGUUAUAGCCCGGGUGAAUGCCGCCAGCUUCGACCGAGGACCGCACCCGC